AAGGGCACCACAAGAACGCGUGGAGCAUGUGGCUUAAUUUGACUCAACGCGGGAAAUCUUACCGGGUCCGGACACACUGAGGAUUGACAGGCAAUAUGAAUAUAUUCCUUUUUGUGAAUUAUAUUUUGUUAAAUAUGCUAGUCCUUUCAUGAUUAUGUGAUAGGUGGUGCAUGGCCGUUCUUAGUUCGCGGAGUGAUCUGUCUGCUUAAUUGCGUUUCACUAAGGGCUCAUAAUUAAUUGUAUGUUUCGUUUGCACUCUUUGACCCCUCUUCACGGAGCGUGUGUCUUAGAAAUUGCAGCGUGCGUACUUUUGGGUCCUGAAAGCAACGAACGUGACCGCAACCUCUUGUUGCCUUUAUUACCAAACGCAAUCUUUUAGACUUCGGUCUAAUUGUUGCAAAAAAAGGCUUUCUAAACUAGAGGGACCGCUGUUACUUUCUUAAACCAGAGGAAGGUUGCGGCAAUAACAGGUCUGUGAUGCCCUUAGAUGUUCCGGGCUGCACACGUGCUACAAUGAUCAGUACAGUGAGCAUCUCAUUUUUUAUACACCGCAUGCGCGAGUCCAUUUAUUCACCUUCUGGGUGCUUUAAAUGUGUAUCUCUGCGCGCGGUAAAGCCUGCUUCGAAAGUAAGUGGGUAAUCAAUUAGAAGUAAUGAUUUCCUUUUUAGCACACAUAUAUACGGCAUUUAUACCCGGGCUGCCUUGUUGUAGCUUUUGUGCGCAUAAGUGUUUUUUCCGUAUGUGCGAUUGUCAAUUCAUGGUGGGGACAGACCAUUGUUAAUUGUUGGUCUCGGUCUUAACUAGGAAUGCCUUGUACGGGUCUUUGGUUCAACAAACCACCCGGAAUACGUCCCUGCCCUUUGUACACACCGCCCGUCGCUCUUACCGAUGGACUUCUCUGUGAGUUUGAGGGACUGGGAACGCGUAAUUUAUUACGCACACCUAUGGAAACUUAAACGAACAGUGUGGUCUAAAGGAAAGAGAAGUCGUAACAAGGCAUCGGUAGGUGAACCUGCCGAUGGAUCA
rnacentral:rRNA from 1 species